AACGAACGCUGGCGGCAGGCCUAACACAUGCAAGUCGAGCGCGCCCUUCGGGGUGAGCGGCGGACGGGUGAGUAACGCGUGGGAACGUGCCCUUCUCUGCGGAAUAGCCUCGGGAAACUGAGAGUAAUACCGCAUACGCCCUUUGGGGGAAAGAUUUAUCGGAGAAGGAUCGGCCCGCGUUGGAUUAGGUAGUUGGUGGGGUAAUGGCCCACCAAGCCGACGAUCCAUAGCUGGUUUGAGAGGAUGAUCAGCCACACUGGGACUGAGACACGGCCCAGCCUCCUACGGGAGGCAGCAGUGGGGAAUCUUAGACAAUGGGGGCAACCCUGAUCUAGCCAUGCCGCGUGAGUGAUGAAGGCCUUAGGGUUGUAAAGCUCUUUCAGCUGGGAAGAUAAUGACGGUACCAGCAGAAGAAGCCCCGGCUAACUCCGU
rnacentral:rRNA from 1 species